rnacentral:rRNA from 1 species
CAUGAAUCGGUAGGCAAAUCCGCCGAUGAUCUGAGGCACGAUAGUACAGGGUUUUGCAUGCAAGACCCUGAUAAUGUCCCCAAGUAAGCUUCCAAGAAAACCCGCUAAGCUUCAGGUAUACAGAGCCCGUACCGCAAACCGACACAGGUAGUCGAGGAGAGUAUCCUAAGGCGCUCGAGUGAAUCAUGGCUAAGGAAUUAGGCAAAAUGGCCUCGUAACUUCGGGAGAAGAGGCGCUCCGUGUAAAAAUGGAGCCGCAGUGAAAAGGCCCAGGCGACUGUUUAGCAAAAACACAGGACUCUGCGAAAUCGUAAGAUGAAGUAUAGGGUCUGACACCUGCCCGGUGCUGGAAGGUUAAGGAAGGUGCUUAGCGCAAGCGAAGGUAUUGACUGAAGCCCCAGUAAACGGCGGCCGUAACUAUAACGGUCCUAAGGUAGCGAAAUUCCUUGUCGGGUAAGUUCCGACCUGCACGAAUGGUGUAACGAUCUGGGCACUGUCUCAGCCAUGAGCUCGGUGAAAUUGAAGUAUCGGUGAAGAUGCCGGUUACCCGCAGUGGGACGAAAAGACCCCGUGCACCUUUACUAUAGCUUCACAUUGAGCUUGAGUAUAAGAUGUGUAGGAUAGGUGGGAGACUAUGAAGUUGUCACGCUAGUGGUGAUGGAGUCGCCGUUGAAAUACCACCCUUCUUAUGCUUAGGUUCUAAUCCCAUGAAAGUGGGAGACAUUGUGUGGUGGGUAGUUUGACUGGGGUGGUCGCCUCCAAAAGAGUAACGGAGGCUCGCAAAGGUUCCCUCAGCAUGGUCGGUAAUCAUGCGAAGAGCGUAUUAGUAUAAGGGAGCUUGACUGGGAUACCGACGGGUCGAUCAGGGACGUAAGUCGGCUAAAGUGAUCCGGUGGUUCCGUAUGGAAGGGCCAUCGCUCAAAGGAUAAAAGGUACGCCGGGGAUAACAGGCUUAUCUCCCCCAAGAGCUCACAUCGACGGGGAGGUUUGGCACCUCGAUGUCCUCGUCACAUCCUGGGGCUGGAGAAGGUCCCAAGGGUUGGGCUGUUCGCCCAUUAAAGUGGCACGCGAGCUGGGUUCAGAACGUCGCAAGACAGUUCGGUCUCUAUCUACUGUGGGCGUAGGAAUAUUGAGAAGAUCUGACACUAGUACGAGAGGACCGUGUUGGACAUACCUCUAGUGUACCAGUUAUGCCGCCAGGUGUACCGCUGGGUAGCUAUGUAUGGAACGGAUAAGCGCUGAAAGCAUCUAAGCGCGAAGCCAACUUCAAGAUGAGUAUUCCAUUGUCGCAAGACUAAAAGGGUUGUUGCAGAUGACGACGUUGAUAGGCUACAGGUGGAAGUGCAGUGAUGUAUGGAGCCGAGUAGUACUAAUUACCCGAAUGCUUCCU